AAUUCAAAAAUCCUAAACACCUAAGCAUUUCAUAUAAGGGAUACUCAACCUGGAUAUGUAAACUUAGUGCAGCCAUUGUGUUCUCUGUUAGUGUGUUCAAGUGGGCUCUCGCACAUACAUUCACUUUAUUUUUGGACAAAGCCUUCCCACCCUCUCCUUGGUGUAGGGCAGUUGCCUAGAGAGUGGCUAUUUCACUUACCCAUUGGUUCUGUUUUCUGAACUUCUCUAGGUUGCCUUCUUAUGCACAAUGGGCACACCAUUUUCUGGCAGCUGACAUUCCUCUAGACUGGCUGCAUGUUAGAAAUAUCUUGGGAGCUUCUAAAUAGUAUUGAAGUUCUAGCUCCACUUCAGACUCAUUAAAUCAGAGCUCCUUGGGGGUAGGAUCCAGGAAGGAGGAGACAGUUACUGUCUAUCCCGCAGACGUGGUGCUCUUUGAAGGGAUCCUGGCCUUCUACUCCCAGGAGGUACGAGACCUGUUCCAGAUGAAGCUUUUUGUGGAUACAGAUGCGGACACCCGGCUCUCACGCAGAGUAUUAAGGGACAUCAGCGAGAGAGGCAGGGAUCUUGAGCAGAUUUUAUCUCAGUACAUUACGUUCGUCAAGCCUGCCUUUGAGGAAUUCUGCUUGCCGACAAAGAAGUAUGCUGAUGUGAUCAUCCCUAGAGGUGCAGAUAAUCUAGUGGCCAUCAACCUCAUCGUGCAGCACAUCCAGGACAUCCUGAAUGGAGGGCCCUCCAAACGGCAGACCAAUGGCUGUCUCAACGGCUACACCCCUUCACGCAAGAGG
rnacentral:sRNA from 1 species